ACUAGGUAAGUUAAUAUAAUUCUAAUGAAGUAAUCAUUUUAAUUUUUACAUGCUUCUGUUGUUUUUGAUAACUGUACGUAAAUAACAACAACAGUUUUUUCAGACAAGCUGGAAAUACCACCAUUAAUCACUGAAGAUACUCCCGCUGAUUUUGAAGAACUUACGGUGAUUGUUUUUGAAAGUGAGGCGCUUUGCCAUAACAUGUUGCAAAGACUUGAAACAAAUACAAAAAAUAUGUGCGAAACAAAAGAAAUUCUAAAGGAAACGAGUGAACAAAUCUCCAAUAUGAAAACGUCAUCAAAUGUGACAAAUCAAAAAGAAAACAGUAAUAGAAGAUAUGCCGCCAAGACCACAGGUAAACAAAUUUUGAGGAAUUAGAAGAUUAUCUCUGCCUACUACAACAAGCAGGCUUCUUUGAACUGCUAUUGUCCCAGAUAGGUGGUAAUGGGAAAAAGAACAAUGUGGAGCGUAUAUUAAAAAAAAAAAAAAAUUCAGCGAAUUUGCUGUAGCUUGUUUGUUCGGUAGGAAAAUUCCAAAAUGGUUGGGACAAAAACAAUGAAUAUUAUGAAAGAAAUUACAAUGAAGACCCAUUCCGCAAUAGAAAAAGAAGUAGAACAACGCUGCUCAGAGUGGCUACGACAUUCUAGUCAACGCCUGAAGAAAGAAAAAACAACGACA